UACGGAGGAUGCAAGCGUUAUCCGGAUUCAUUGGGUUUAAAGGGUGCGUAGGCGGGCUAUUAAGUCAGUGGUGAAAUCCUGCAGCUUAACUGCAGAACUGCCGUUGAUACUGAUAGUCUUGAGUUUGGUUAAGGUAGGCGGAAUGUGUAAUGUAGCGGUGAAAUGCUUAGAUAUUACACAGAACACCAAUUGCGUAGGCAGCUUACUGAGCCGACACUGACGCUGAGGCACGAAAGCGUGGGGAGCAAACAGGA
rnacentral:rRNA from 1 species